AGGGUAGCCUAGUGGUUAGAGCGUUGGACUAGUAACCGGAAGGUUGCAAGUUCAAACCCCUGAGCUGCCUCUGAACAGGCAGUUAACCCACUGUUCCUAGGCCGUCAUUGAAAAUAAGAAUUUGUUCUUAAUUUCUUAAUUUGUUCUUGCCUAGUUAAAUUAAAAUUCAAAUGUUAAGUAGAGAUGGAGAACUCUCCCUACUUCUAUGUUAGGUAGAGAUGGAGAACUCUCCCUACUUCUAUGUUAGGUAGAGAUGGAGAACUCUCCCUAUUUCUAUGUUAGGUAGGGUCAACAUAAUGAAAAUUAAUAUAUUACUAAGGUUAAUGGAUUUAUUUCAAGCCUUACCAGUUUAAAUUCCAUCCAACUUCUUUAAGAAAAUAAACGGCCUACUCUCCAACUUUAUUUAGAAUGGAAAGAUCUCGAGUCAGAUUUUAUGUUUUACAUAGCAGGAGGUAUUGGACUACCUCACAUGAAAAUGUACUGUACAACUGUGUUCACUUAAACAACGGUCAGCAGAUGAUCUUUGUGCUUGGAGGACUGUCGAAGGAGUAUUGGAGGAGUGUUGAAGGAUUAUUGAAGCAGUAUUGGAGGAGUGUUGAAGGAGUAUUGGAGGAGUGUUGAAGGAGUAUUGAAGGAGUGUUGAAGGUGUAUUGAAGGAGUGUUGAAGGAGUGUUGAAGGAGUAUUGAAGGAGUGUUGAAGGUGUAUUGAAGGAGUGUUGAAGGUGUAUUGAAGGAGUGUUGAAGGUGUAUUGAAGCCUAUGAUUUACAAUAUAUAUUUACUACUUGAAAGAAAAAAACAGACAAUUAAAUUAUUUUUAAUUCAAUUCAUAUUUCGGAAAAUGUACAUAAAUUCCUGAAAUGGAAGAAACCAAUAUCGCCAUGCACAUUGGAACAAACUCACCUUACCUCCAGCAAUUAAUGACAAUACCUUUUAAGUCCUUGUUCCAAAGUGGCAUCAUGAAUGUUGAGCAUAUGUAUUAUAAUGGCUCUCUACUGUCAUUCAAUGAAUUUCAAGAAAAAUGUGCGUUAUCCAAAAAGCUAUUUCUUUAGUUUCUUACAACUAAGAUAUCUUAUUAAAUCGAUUCAACAGAAUCUGGAUCAACCUAAAGCAUCUGGCAUUGAAAAAAUAAUGAAAGAAGCUGUGACACCAAGGAAGUUGAUUGCCUAGUUCAGGGGUUGAUUGAAUCUCUACCUGAUAGCGUGCGUGCGUGCGUGCGUGCGUGUCUGUGUGUGUGUGUGUGUGUNNNNNNNNNNCCCCCCCCCCCCCCCCCUGCUUCUCCUUCACCCAAAUCCAGACUGCUGAUGUCCUGAAAGAGCUGCAGAAUCUAGAUCUCUACAAAUCAGCUGGGCUAGACAAUCUGGACCGUCUCUUGCUAAAACUAUCCGCCUCCAUUGUCGCAACCCAUACUACUAGUCUGUUCAACCUCUCUUUCGUAUCGUCUGACAUUCUUAAAGAUUGGAAAUCGGCCGCGGUCAUUCCCCUCUUCAAAGGGGGAGAUACUCUAGACCCAAACUGUUACAGACCUAUAUCCAUCCUGCCCUGCCUUUCUAAAGUCUCCGAAAGCCAAGUGAUCAAACAGAUUACCGACCAUCUAUAAU
rnacentral:lncRNA from 13 species